rnacentral:rRNA from 1 species
AAUGGGUCAGCGACUUAUAUUCUGUAGCAAGGUUAACCGAAUAGGGGAGCCGAAGGGAAACCGAGUCUUAACUGGGCGUUAAGUUGCAGGGUAUAGACCCGAAACCCGGUGAUCUAGCCAUGGGCAGGUUGAAGGUUGGGUAACACUAACUGGAGGACCGAACCGACUAAUGUUGAAAAAUUAGCGGAUGACUUGUGGCUGGGGGUGAAAGGCCAAUCAAACCGGGAGAUAGCUGGUUCUCCCCGAAAGCUAUUUAGGUAGCGCCUCGUGAAUUCAUCUCCGGGGGUAGAGCACUGUUUCGGCAAG